AGAGUUUGAUCCUGGCUCAGGACGAACGCUGGCGGCGUGCCUAAUACAUGCAAGUCGAACGCUUCUUUUUCCACCGGAGCUUGCUCCACCGGAAAAAGAAGAGUGGCGAACGGGUGAGUAACACGUGGGUAACCUGCCCAUCAGAAGGGGAUAACACUUGGAAACAGGUGCUAAUACCGUAUAACAAUCAAAACCGCAUGGUUUUGAUUUGAAAGGCGCUUUCGGGUGUCACUGAUGGAUGGACCCGCGGUGCAUUAGCUAGUUGGUGAGGUAACGGCUCACCAAGGCCACGAUGCAUAGCCGACCUGAGAGGGUGAUCGGCCACAUUGGGACUGAGACACGGCCCAAACUCCUACGGGAGGCAGCAGUAGGGAAUCUUCGGCAAUGGACGAAAGUCUGACCGAGCAACGCCGCGUGAGUGAAGAAGGUUUUCGGAUCGUAAAACUCUGUUGUUAGAGAAGAACAAGGAUGAGAGUAACUGUUCAUCCCUUGACGGUAUCUAACCAGAAAGCCACGGCUAACUACGUGCCAGCAGCCGCGGUAAUACGUAGGUGGCAAGCGUUGUCCGGAUUUAUUGGGCGUAAAGCGAGCGCAGGCGGUUUCUUAAGUCUGAUGUGAAAGCCCCCGGCUCAACCGGGGAGGGUCAUUGGAAACUGGGAGACUUGAGUGCAGAAGAGGAGAGUGGAAUUCCAUGUGUAGCGGUGAAAUGCGUAGAUAUAUGGAGGAACACCAGUGGCGAAGGCGGCUCUCUGGUCUGUAACUGACGCUGAGGCUCGAAAGCGUGGGGAGCAAACAGGAUUAGAUACCCUGGUAGUCCACGCCGUAAACGAUGAGUGCUAAGUGUUGGAGGGUUUCCGCCCUUCAGUGCUGCAGCUAACGCAUUAAGCACUCCGCCUGGGGAGUACGACCGCAAGGUUGAAACUCAAAGGAAUUGACGGGGGCCCGCACAAGCGGUGGAGCAUGUGGUUUAAUUCGAAGCAACGCGAAGAACCUUACCAGGUCUUGACAUCCUUUGAUCACUCUAGAGAUAGAGCUUCCCCUUCGGGGGCAAAGUGACAGGUGGUGCAUGGUUGUCGUCAGCUCGUGUCGUGAGAUGUUGGGUUAAGUCCCGCAACGAGCGCAACCCUUAUUGUUAGUUGCCAUCAUUCAGUUGGGCACUCUAGCAAGACUGCCGGUGACAAACCGGAGGAAGGUGGGGAUGACGUCAAAUCAUCAUGCCCCUUAUGACCUGGGCUACACACGUGCUACAAUGGGAAGUACAACGAGUUGCGAAGUCG
rnacentral:rRNA from 1 species